GACGAACGCUGGCGGCGUGCUUAACACAUGCAAGUCGAACGGAAAGGCCCUGCUUUUGUGGGGUGCUCGAGUGGCGAACGGGUGAGUAACACGUGAGUAACCUGCCCUUGACUUUGGGAUAACUUCAGGAAACUGGUGCUAAUACCGGAUAUGAGCUCCUGCUGCAUGGUGGGGGUUGGACAGUUUCGGCGGUUGGGGAUGGACUCGCGGCUUAUCAGCUUGUUGGUGGGGUAGUGGCUUACCAAGGCUUUGACGGGUAGCCGGCCUGAGAGGGUGACCGGCCACAUUGGGACUGAGAUACGGCCCAGACUCCUACGGGAGGCAGCAGUGGGGAAUAUUGCACAAUGGGCGGAAGCAUGACGCAGCAACGCCGCGUGCGGGAUGACGGCCUUCGGGUUGUAAACCGCUUUCGCCUGUGACGAAGCGUGAGUGACGGUAAUGGGUAAAGAAGCACCGGAUAACUACGUG
rnacentral:rRNA from 1 species